CCUUAUACAGGGGGAUAACGGAGAGAAAUUUCCGCUAAGACCGCAUAAGACCACAGCACCGCAUGGUGCAGGGGUAAAAUAUUUAUAGGUAUAAGAUGGAUCCGCGUCCGUUUAGCUAGUUGGUGAGGUAAAGGCCCACCAAGGCGACGAUCGGUAGCCGGCCUGAGAGGGUGAACGGCCACAUUGGGACUGAGACACGGCCCAAACUCCUACGGGAGGCAGCAGUGGGGAAUAUUGGACAAUGGGGGAAACCCUGAUCCAGCGACGCCGCGUGAGUGAAGAAGUAUUUCGGUAUGUAAAGCUCUAUCAGCAGGGAAGAAAAUGACGGUACCUGACUAAGAGGCCCCGGCUAACUACGUGCCAGCAGCCGCGGUAAUACGUAGGGGGCAAGCGUUAUCCGGAUUUACUGGGUGUAAAGGGAGCGCAGACGGCAAUGCAAGUCUGAAGUGAAAGGCGUGGGCUCAACCCAUGAACUGCUUUGGAAACUGUAUAGCUUGAGUGUCGGAGGGGUAAGCGGAAUUCCUAGUGUAGCGGUGAAAUGCGU
rnacentral:rRNA from 1 species